rnacentral:rRNA from 1 species
GUAGGUGGCAAGCGUUGUCCGGAAUUAUUGGGCGUAAAGCGCGCGCAGGCGGUUCUUUAAGUCUGAUGUGAAAGCCCACGGCUCAACCGUGGAGGGUCAUUGGAAACUGGAGAACUUGAGUACAGAAGAGGAAAGCGGAAUUCCACGUGUAGCGGUGAAAUGCGUAGAGAUGUGGAGGAACACCAGUGGCGAAGGCGGCUUUCUGGUCUGUAACUGACGCUGAGGCGCGAAAGCGUGGGGGAGCAAACAGGAUUAGAUACCCUGGUAGUCCACGCCGUAAACGAUGAGUGCUAAGUGUUAGGGGGGUUUCCGCCCCUUAGUGCUGCAGCUAACGCAUUAAGCACUCCGCCCUGGGAGUACGGCCGCAAGGCUGA